CCAAAACUGCCCAGUUCGGGCUUAUGCAAUUUUGGAUUUUUGAGGGACCUAGCUGGAUUUUGUUACAUUAGAUGGUCUAUAUGACCCAUCCACCCUCUCUUCUCCUCAUUUUCCCUCCUCACACUCUCCCUACAUCCUUGCUAGAGAGAGAAGAAGGAGAAGAAGAGGAAGGAGAAGAAGAGGAGAAGGAUCUAGCUUGGGCUUGGAGCAUCCCUUUGCCUUUCUUCCUCUUCCCACCUUGUUGGUGCUUGAAGGCUUGGACUUGGAGCUUGCAAAGGAGAAGAUCUUCACCCUUUGAGCUUGGAUUGGAGCUUCUUAGAGGUUGGUAGCCCUUUUUCUCCAUCUAGACCUUGGAUUUGAGGUUUUAUUGUUUUGGAACCCUAGAAUGAGGUUUUAGGGUUGAUUUUGGGGCUUUUUGAUCUAGGGCUUUUGAGGCUAGAUUGAUUAGAUUAGAACCUUCCUUGAGCUUGGAUUGGAAGGGUUCUAGCUCUCUUUUAGAGUUUUGGAAGAGAUUUCUUCUCUUGAGGUGAGUUGUAGCCCUUUUGUUAGGUUGUUAAAGUUUGACCUUAUAAAUUGAUCGUAAUGCCCGUGUAUCUCUUCGCUCAUUACUUCUAGGGUAUUUCGAGACUCGGGGACAACUUUGUUGGGCGAAACGAGGCACUACGCGACGGUUCGGUGGGUUUGACCUAGCCUACAUAUGAGAAAUUCUCAUAUAUGGUUAUAUAUGUUCCGUAAAUUGAAAAAGUAUGCAUGUUCAUACUAAAUGUAUUUAUUAUGAUUUUUAGAAUGCUUAAAAGGCCUAUGUUAUAUAUGAUGAAAUUUUGGACCUCUAUGUAAUAGAGAGUAGCUUGGUAGGCCCAUAGUUGCAUUUAGCAAUCUAUAUGAGACGUGGUUUCAUGCUCCUAUAGUGUAAAUGAGAUUUGAUUCAUGCAUUUAAACCUAAGUUUAUUGAGACAUGAAAGUUGACAAAAUUGCCAUUUAGAAGGUAUGCAAACUAGGGAGCCAAUGCCAUCAAGCGGCAUUGAGCUCGGGACAUGUGAGAACCUAGUGGAUAGGGCCAUUGAGAGAUUUAGGAUACAUGUUGAACAUCAAAUUGCCUAAGUGUCAUCAAGGGGCACUAGGCGUAGCAAAUGUUGAAACUUCACAUUGUGACUUAAACUAGAUCUUCGGGAUGCUAGUGACUAUACCAUGUUAGAGAUAUGAGGAUUGGAUACUCGAGACUUGGAC
rnacentral:lncRNA from 1 species